rnacentral:rRNA from 1 species
GACGAACGCUGGCGGCGUGCUUAACACAUGCAAGUCGAACGGAAAGGCCCUGCGUUUGUGGGGUGCUCGAGUGGCGAACGGGUGAGUAACACGUGAGUAACCUGCCCUUGACUUUGGGAUAACUUCAGGAAACUGGGGCUAAUACCGGAUAGGAGCUCCUGCUGCAUGGUGGGGGUUGGAAAGUUUCGGCGGUUGGGGAUGGACUCGCGGCUUAUCAGCUUGUUGGGGGGGUAGUGGCUUACCAAGGCUUUGACGGGUAGCCGGCCUGAGAGGGUGACCGGCCACAUUGCGCCUGAGAUACGGCCCAGACUCCUACGGGAGGCAGCAGUGGGGAAUAUUGCACAAUGGGCGGAAGCCUGAUGCAGCAACGCCGCGUGCGGGAUGACGGCCUUCGGGUUGUAAACCGCUUUCGCCUGUGACGAAGCGUGAGUGACGGUAAUGGGUAAAGAAGCACCGGCUAACUACGUG